rnacentral:rRNA from 1 species
UACGUAGGGGGCAAGCGUUGUCCGGAAUCAUUGGGCGUAAAGAGCGUGUAGGCGGUUCGGUAAGUCGGCUGUGAAAGUCCAGGGCUCAACCCUGGGAUGCCGGUCGAUACUGCCGGACUAGAGUUCGGAAGAGGCGAGUGGAAUUCCCGGUGUAGCGGUGAAAUGCGCAGAUAUCGGGGAGGAACACCUAUGGCGAAGGCAGCUCGCUGGGACGUUUACUGACGCU